CUGUGGAUUGAAAUUGGGGGGUUUCCAAGUGUCGCUAUCACAACGAGCUGCAGUGAACAUCCCUGCACGCAUGUUCUUAAACCCUAACGUUCUUAUCUGUGACAGACAGAAACUGUCAGAUGGUUUUCUAGAAGGUUGCUUUAAUUUGCAUGAUAGUACUUGAGUUUUGAGCAGAUCUGAACGUGAGAUUUCAAGCAAGUAAAGAAAGGAGAUCUUAAGCAAUUUCAUAAUUAUUCCAAAUAUGCAUAGAAAAUAGAAAGUUGAAAAAUAAAAUAUUAAGUAUACUUAUAAAGGCUUACGUUUGAAACUGCUGAAUCUGAAAUCAGAUACGUGAGGAGAAGAAAUAUUUUUCAAAGCAAAACAAAACAGAAACAUGAUUUUAGCCCCCGGAAUGGAAUAUCAAGAAUUAAAAGGCAAAAAAAAUUCCUCUCUAAAAUCACAGAAAUAGGUCAUUCAUGCAACUCUGUAGACAGGCAGCUGAGCUGACUGGUUAUUUAAAUUUGGUUCAACAGCAACCUGGAAAAACUGACAGUAACUCGUUCAAGCCCAGUGAGCCCGUCUUCCGGAGCUGCCUCUCUGAGCAGGGAGCCGCAAGCCAGCCCCUCCCAGGCCCCUGCUGCCCGCUGGCUAGGGAGCAGACCCCAUCUCUGUGAGAAGGACAGACAUUCAGAGCUAGGCUAUUCAAAGUCGUCAGGAUGACAUGGAGGAAGAGUUACUUGUCCUGUCAAUGUUUCAUUUUGAGGCUGCUCUGAAAGGGAGGAGAUUCUUUUAUCCAGCACACUUUCUCACUAAUCCCGCCACUCUGUUUCCUUGGACUCCGUGGUGACCAGCUGGUCCUGUGUGCAGGCAGCUGGUCGAGGCUGUGGAACAGCUAGUUGGUCAGCAGUGGAAACAAGCUCGUGACCUCCACCUCCUGAACUGAAUGCUCGAUCAUUAGCUGAGCACGGGCUUGGGUACCUCAGAGCUGGGCAGUCAGCGCUCCAGCACUUACUGAUUGUGAAAAAUCAGGCAGGCUGCACGUCUUCACUCAAACUCAAUUUUUCAUCCAUGAACUGGGAAUAAUAAUUGCUCUCUAAUGGUGAUUUUGAGAGGAUUAAAUGAACUGAAAUAUGUAAAGCAUAUGCCUCAGUAACUAAAUAAAUGGACACUCUUUGGCACCCCCAGCAAAAAAAAAGCCAAUAUGACGCCCUUCCUUCAGAUAUAAUUCUCACGUUUUCUGACCUGGGCCAGGAGGAGAAACAGCUGGCCACACUCUGAGUGUUGAGCAGCAGCAGCAGAAAAGCCUCCUUAAAAUCAGUGUGUGCAAAUAGGCGUGCAGGUGUUUAUGGAAAACCUUGUACAAAAUUUAAAGUAAUCAGAGAAUAUCUCCCUUCUAUCGCACCCCAGAGAAUCCUGAGAACGUCUGUGCUUGGUAAAGCCUUUGUCUGACUCCUGGUUUGAGUCAAAGUUUCAACCUAGCUCUCCAUUUCUCGUCUAGCAGUCUA
rnacentral:lncRNA from 1 species